rnacentral:rRNA from 1 species
UGAACGCUGGCGGUAGGCCUAACACAUGCAAGUCGAACGGCAGCACAGUAAGAGCUUGCUCUUACGGGUGGCGAGUGGCGGACGGGUGAGGAAUACAUCGGAAUCUACUUUUUCGUGGGGGAUAACGUAGGGAAACUUACGCUAAUACCGCAUACGACCUACGGGUGAAAGCAGGGGAUCUUCGGACCUUGCGCGAUUGAAUGAGCCGAUGUCGGAUUAGCUAGUUGGCGGGGUAAAGGCCCACCAAGGCGACGAUCCGUAGCUGGUCCGAGAGGAUGAUCAGCCACACUGGAACUGAGACACGGUCCAGACUCCUACGGGAGGCAGCAGUGGGGAAUAUUGGACAAUGGGCGCAAGCCUGAUCCAGCCAUACCGCGUGGGUGAAGAAGGCCUUCGGGUUGUAAAGCCCUUUUGUUGGGAAAGAAAAGCAGCAGGUUAAUACCCCGCUGUUCUGACGGUACCCAAAGAAUAAGCACCGGCUAACUUCGUG